rnacentral:lncRNA from 10 species
GGAUGUUACACACUUAUAUUAAUACCUUGUUUCAACAAUUAUUAUAGUAGCAGAGAUACCUAAUAUUUACAUAGUGUUCUGUACUUUUCAGAGCAUUUUCAUGUUUGAUUCUUCCCAUAACCCUUUCAUGAAAGGGCAGAUCUUUUCUCCCAUUUGAAUGAUGAAGAAACCAAGACCUGAGAACAUUUGGCGGCUUGACCAAGGUCGCCGGACAGAGCUGGAUUUCUUGACCCAUUGGUUGGGCUCCUUCCCUAGGUCCAGGUUGGCCAAUCCCCCGACACAGCCGAGCCCGCAUGGCACACCACAGGCCCUGUGUGUGAGGUCUCCCGGCAGGAGCUGAGAGGAGAGGUCUGGAGGGAGAAGGGACUUGGAACCCUGCAUUGGGAAGCUUCUGGCAGCAGGACAGGCCAUUCCUGCAAGGCAGAGUGAGGCGGCUCCACAGGUGUGGACCAGCACGUGUUUCCACACAGACACGACAAUGUCCUAGGAGGGGGCUGCUGACACUGAUUGCCAUCUGCGUGCUGGGUCUGGUGUAAAAGACACUGCAUGACAACCAGCCCUUUCCACACUGUGCACACGUGAAGAUGGUGCCCAAUGAACCCCACAGAUUCUGCCCAGGAAGCACUGAGAGCCCAGAAGAGAUGACAGGCACAUUCAGUGGGCCUGGGCGAGCCAGGGAAGCUUCCCGAUGGAGGCAGUUUUGAGUGGAGUCUGGAGGAAAAAAAAAGGACAGCCAUCAUCAGAUGAGAAACAGAGGGCCUGGGGCAAAGGGAUGAGUGGUCUAGGAUGGUGAGUGUUUCAGUUUGGGUAAACCCAGGAGUGGAUGAGGGGCCUGGGAUGGCUGGCAGUUGAAAUAGAAGGUCAGGUAUGAAUUUGAUAUGCUAGAAAUUAAGGAGCCCCUGAGGGUCAUUACAAGGGAAGAAAUAAGAUCAAAACGGUGUGACAUGAGGAUGGGAAGGAGGGACUGAAGACAGGCAUGGGGCGAGCACUUUGGUCAGCAGCGUUCCAUCUGACUUGGAAUUCUAGGCCACCAUGCAACCUGGACUUCUCUGGCUGGCUGCCGGGCUUUGGGACCUCUAGUGCACUCUGCCACCAGAUUAGGCUGGGUUUUGGAAGGUGGGGAUGGAUGGCUCCCACAGCCCAUUGCCCCGACCCAUGGCGCCUUCCCCCACCGAGCCAGGCUCCAGCCUUCCCUCGACAGGAUGCCAGGUCAAUGCUGGAUUCUGCCUCAGGCUCCAGGAAAAAUCUUGCUGCUCUGGGAAGAUGCCCUGCUGCUCCUUCUGCUCUGCUCUGUGGUGAUUGAUGGCUGUGGGUAGGUGGGUAAGAGCCUUCCUUCCCCUGCUCCAGAUGGUUGGAGUGGGUGAGGCUGGCUCCUGGAGUAGCCAAAGAGGAGUGGAUGGGCCAGGGAGGUGCCCAGAGGUGGGAGGUGUUCCGAGGGUUGUUCUAGAUGUAGUGGCUGGUUCCAGGGGCCAGGAGAUGGCUGUAGAGUACCAUACCAUUAUCUUAAUACUGAGUUCUUUUUUUUUUUUGUGAAGUGGAGUCUCACUCUGUUGCCCGGGCUGGAGUGCAAGGGCGUGAUCUCAGCUCACUGCCACCUCUGCCUCCUGGAUUCAAGCGGUUCUCCUGCCUCAGCCUCCCGAGUAGCUGGGAUUAUAGGCAUGCGCCACCACUCCUGGCUAAUUUUUGUAUUUUUAGUAGAGAUGAGGUUGAAUCAUGUUGGUCAGGCUGGUCUUGAACUUCUGACCUCAAGUGAUCUGCCCGCCUUGGCCUCCCAGAGCGCUGGGAUUACAGGCGUGAGCUACCACAACCGGCCAAUACUCGGUUCUUCUAAGUAGGAAGAAAGUAACAUUUUGCUACCUAAUUUCUUGGCCUUUCAAGCCCACCCUGGACUAAGGCCCUGAGGUACUCAUGAUGGCUGAGCAGGAAGGGCCUGCUAUUGUCAUAAAGGGGAACCAAGGUCCAUGGCGGAAAAAGGUGGUUUAUCCUUAAAAGGGUGUUCUCUGUGAGUGACACUCCAAAGCACCUUCACUAACCCAUCUGGGUCCCCACAGUGUGAGGUAGGACAGGGUUGCUUCUGUCUCCCUCUGCCAGGCUUUCCUGGGGAAUUUUAAAGGGACAAAUUCUCUUCCCAGGAUUGGGGGUGGAGGGAACCCAGGAGCUAUAGGCACCUGUAAACCCAAUUUAAAAAUCAGUCUAGCCAACCAGCCCCCAAAGGAACCAGAGGGAGCUAUAGAGUAACUCAAAAGCAGACACUAAUGGAGGAGAAAAGAAAUGUAGUUACAUAUUCAUGAGCUUUUAAAUAUUCAUGAGGAUUGUAAAGCAGAUUAAUUUUCAUGCCUCAUUUCUCCCGAGGUUCCCGCUGUCCAUAUUUUACCACAGCAAGAGAAGAAGAGGGAGCGAUGGAUCACCUGGCCACUGCCCUUACCAUCACUUAAGGAGCAGCAUGCGUGAGCGUGUGUGUGUGUGUGUGUGUGUGUGUGUAAGGGCCGGGGAGCAGGAGAUGUGGUCGCUGUGGAGGUGUAGGCGCUAGCCUCCUGAGGGACCAGCUCUACCUCCUGCCAGGCCAGGACAGCGUGGGGACAGCAGGGCACAGCUGCGCAGACUCUGGAGCCAUCAAGGUAAUUUCGGGCCUCCCCAGGGUGAAGAGAGAAGAAAGAGGACCUUUACCAGAGUCAGCAGGAGCUCCACCUCCACUCCCCUCAACUCAUGGUCUAGAUGAAUGAUUGAGUGAGGUGAGGGAGCGGAGGAGAGGGCAUGCAGAGGGGCGGAGAGGCAUGAAAGACACCGAAGGACAAAGGGAAGGGGCAAGAAACAGAGGCGGACAGAAGCCAUGGGCGAGGAGAAAGCAAAAGGGUGAGGGUUCCAGCUGGAGGGCUGAGAAUGAAAGGACGAAGGGGAAAAGCAGCAGGGAUGGAGGUUAGAUAUCUUGAAGGACUUCCAGAUCCCAGGGCUAUUGGACCUUCUCUCUAUAGGGCAUGGGAGAAAUAUUCACCCAAGCCAUACACCAGUGGUGAGGCAUAGUACAGAGGAGCUGAAAUCAGAAAUGUGCCAAGAUUGCUUGGGAAACAGCCAACAAAUGUCCCGGCCAGCAGGGGCAAGGCAGAGUUAGGGGAGACUCCCUGUCAAAUGCAAGGUGUCCACGUGAGACAUCCCGUGGGCUAAGGGGACAAAUCUUGUCCAGAGUCAUGAAUGGGAACCAGAAACUUCUGUGAAGAGCAGAAUAUGGGCCCCUGGGGGACAGCCACCUGCGCAGCUUCUUGGAGGUCCUGGAGUGUGGUUCUUGGGUAGGAAUGCAGUCCAUUUAAAACAAGGCCAGGCCAGCAGCCUUCAGUAGCUUGGAUCCACUUUCUUGGAAUUAGAGGAGGAAUGGUCCAGCCUCUGAAGGGGGCGGGUCAGUUUUCCAGCUCCUGCCACUUCAUGGAGACUGAAGUCUGUUCCAGGGAGUGGGAAACGCAAGGAGCUCUCUGGUGAUGUUUGAGCAUCACUAGGCAAGACCUUCACCAGUAGGCUCCUUCCCCAGCUGCCUUCCCUCCACACUGUCUGGGAUCUCCCCACUGAAUUCCUAACUUGUGUGUCCAGCUGCUUAUGGGAUAUGUCCACUGGGAGGUCCAGUAGGCAUCUCAAACCUAGCAUGUCCACAGCCACGCUGACCCACUCACAAGCCUGUCUGGCUGCAACCUUCUCUAUACCAAGCCAGUGGCAACUCCAUCCUUGCAGCUCCUCAGGGCUGUCAAAAGUCUAAAGAUCUUAAAUGGCUUUUAUUUGUGGUUCUAGAAUCAGGUGACACCUUGUUUUAUAAAACAGAGUGAGUGUUCCGAAGAGCUAACCAGAGGAGGUGGGUUUUAUGGACAGGAAAAGGCUGAGCAGAAACAGGGAACGAAAAGUGAACUUGUCAUUUCAAAGUUCCUUUUUCUUGUAAAGGUUAAAGCAGAGGGGACUUCCUUUCUUGCCAAUGAAAAUUGGCCAGUUUGGAGACUUGGCUAUUAUCUCUCUCUCCUGAUCCCUCCCAAGUUCAGAUAAAGAUCUUAGUUCUGGCUUGGUGGCGUGGAACUUCGGCAUGAAUGACUCCACUUUGGUUUGGUCUGUUGGGCCCAGUGCAGGAGCUUAGACCAAGCCAUUGGCCUCCUAUAAAUUGUAUUUAACAGGGCAAACAACUUAGGAGUCACCCUUGCCUCCUUGCUCCUUCAGCCCUUCAACAUAAUAGUCAGAACCCCACCGCUCCCACCACCUCUGUGGCUCCAGCUGGGCCCAAGCCCACAUCUUCUCUCGUUUGGUUGCAACAGAAGCCAUCUGCUUACCUCCUGACCCUCGCCUGUCUAUUCACACAGUGGCCAGAGUGAGGCUUUUACCAGGGCAGAGCAUGUCCUGUCUCUGUUCCCAUCUCAGAGUCACAGCCCACAUUCUCCGUGGCCUAGAAGGCUCUUUGCAGCUGGCCUCUCCAUUUGUCUCCCUGUCUCGCCUUUUUCUCUUGCACACCCCUGCAGCCACACUGGGCUCCUUGAGCAAGCCAGGACUGCUGCCACCUCAGGGCCUUUGCACGGCGCUCCCUUCCUCCCUCCCGAGCACUUGCCUAGAUGUGCCUUCUCAGUGAGGUCUUCUCUGAGCACCUGAUUUAAAAUUGUCAUCCUGUUCCCUGGCUCUCUCUCACCCUGCUCUAUUUUGCCCCCAUAGCACUUUUUGCCUUCUACCAUGCUACACAGUUAUUUAUUUUGUUUGUUGGUAUUGUAUACUGCCUGCCCCCACCCACUGGAAUAUUGGGUUUCUGAGAGCAGAGAUUCUGUCCAUUGAGUUCUGUGCUGCAUCCUCAGCACCUACAGCAGAGCCUGGUACAUGUGGAAAUCCUGUGGGAGAUUUCCACAAUCAAUAUUUAUUCCACAGGAGGCAUCCCCUUCUGACCAUGAAGGGUUAACCGCUGUAGAAAUUGCCCAUCUACCCAGCACUUUGGGAGGCCACGGCGAGCGAUCACCUGAGGUCAGGAGUUCGAGAUCAGCCCAGCCAACAUGGUGAAACCCUGUCUCUACUAAAAAUACAAAAAUUAGCCAGGUGUGGUAGUGCUCGCCUGUAAUUUCAGCUACCUGGGAGGCUGAGGCAGGAGGAUGGCAUGAACCCGGGAGGCGUUGCAGUGAGCUGAGAUUGAGCCAUUGUACUCCAGCCUGGGUGACAAGAGUGAGAUUCUGGCUCAAAAAAAAAAAAAAAAAGGACAAAGAAACUAUUCAUCUAAUGCAAACAACUGAACACUGGAUGAAAUAUAGGGCUUGGUGUGAUGGCUCACGCUUAUAAUCCCAGCACUUCGGGAGGCCGAGGCGGGUGGAUCGCCUGAGGUCAGGAGUUUGAGACCAGCCUGAUCAAUGGUGAAACCCUGUCUCUACUGAAAGUACAAAACUUAGCUGGGCGUGGUGGCACGUGCCUGUAGUCCCAGCUACUCGGGAGGCUGAGACAGGAGAACUGCUUGAACCUGGGAGGUGGAGGUUGCAGUGAGCCGAGAUCGUGCCACUGCACUUCAGCCUAGGUGACAGAGCAAGACUCUGUCUCAAAAAAGAAAAAAUAAAAAUAAAAAUAAAAGAAAGAAAGAAAUAUAAGAAAUGACUGUUUCCAGACAGUGGGCAUCAGGUGGCAUAGGGUGGUAGGCCCCAAGAGAAGGGAAACAAGUUAGGUGACCCCACCCCAACACAGUACAGCAGCUUACUGCCUGGAGAAAGUUGGCAGAGCCAGGUGGUUGAGUUGGUGAGACGGAGAUUGGGUUGGAGGAGGCUAGAAUCUGUGAGGAAGAAUCCUGGGGAGAAGGGAGCUGCAGGCAGAGUUCGGGAAGCCUGUAGAAAGGUCCUCAAAACUUUGGCUGAACACUGAGCUGACAGAAAGCAGUAGGCUGAACAAUUAAUUCCUGGAGCUUACAUGCGGCUGUGGCUCAGAUUCCCACCAGUGAGUGGAGAGUGCUUGCAGUACCUGGUGCAUUGGAUAGAGGCCUCCUGAAGAUGCUACUGUAGCCCUGACGCCUGUCCUGAACUCAGUCUAACAGAGCUUAAAAACAAGCAUUAAAAGGAUCAAAGCAAUUCCAAAUAACUGAGCCAGAACAAAGUCCAACACUCUUUAAAAGAAUAGAAUAAGAUCCAGAACUCAGCAAUGUAAAAUUCACAAUAUCCAUCAUCUAAUAAAAAAAUUAAGUCAUGCAAAGAAGCAGGAAAAUACGGCUUAUAACCAGAAGAAAAAUCAAUCAACAGAAACAGACCCAAAAAUCAACAGAAACAGAAAAAUGAUGAAAUUAGCAGAAAGGAUACUAAAGCAGUGAUUAUAGAUUAUGUUCCAUAUGCUCAGAAAUGCAGAGGAAAACAUGAACAUGAUGAGAAGAGAGAUGGAAGAUUUAAGAAAAACAAAUGUAAUUUAUAAAGAUGAAAAUAGAAUAUCUGAAAUAAAAAUACUGUUGAACAAAUAAAUGAUUUUAUUUCUGCUGUUGCUCCUAUCAAAACCAUAUGGGUCAGGGGUGGGGGAGAGCGACU